UGGGGAAUAUUGCACAAUGGGCGCAAGCCUGAUGCAGCCAUGCCGCGUGUAUGGAGAAGGCCUUCGGGUUGUAAAGUACUUUCAGCGGGGAGGAAGGGAGUAAAGUUAAUACCUUUGCUCAUUGACGUUACCCGCAGAAGAAGCACCGGCUAACUCCGUGCCAGCAGCCGCGGUAAUACGGAGGGUGCAAGCGUUAAUCGGAAUUACUGGGCGUACAGCGCACGCAGGCGGUUUGUUAAGUCAGAUGUGAAAUCCCCGGGCUCAACCUGGGAACUGCAUCUGAUACUGGCAAGCUUGAGUCUCGUAGAGGGGGGUAGAAAUCCAGGUGUAGCGGUGAAAUGCGUAGAGAUCUGGAGGAAUACCGGUGGCGAAGGCGGCCCCCUGGACGAAGACUGACGCUCAGGUGCGAAAGCGUGGGGAGCAAACAGG
rnacentral:rRNA from 1 species